GCAGUGGUGCUGGAAUUGGCAGACAGGCUGGUCUCAGAAGCCAGUGUCCUUUGGAACGUGUGGGUUCGAGUCCCAUCCGCUGCACCA
rnacentral:tRNA from 1 species